rnacentral:rRNA from 1 species
UUGAACGCUGGCGGCAUGCCUAACACAUGCAAGUCGAACGGCAGCACAGCAGUAGCAAUACUGUGGGUGGCGAGUGGCGGACGGGUGAGUAAUGCAUCGGGAUCUACCCAAACGUGGGGGAUAACGUAGGGAAACUUACGCUAAUACCGCAUACGUCCUACGGGAGAAAGCGGGGGACCUUCGGGCCUCGCGCGGUUGGACGAACCGAUGUUCGAUUAGCUAGUUGGUAGGGUAAUGGCCUACCAAGGCGACGAUCGAUAGCUG